UAUAUAUAUAUAGAAGAUAUGUUACAAUUUAAUAUUACUUUGUUAAAGCUGCAGUAUCGUGUUUUUUUCCCCCCUCAGGAGCCUUUUGUUUCUCUUCAAAGUACUGUUCUCUUGAGAAAAAGGCAAUAAAAUAUAUAAGCAUUCAAUAAUUAAUCACUCUGAUUUUUCUUAAUAAGAAUCCUAUGAUCUACUAGCAAUUAGGGACACAUCACUAACAGCCCACAUCAGAAGCAUUUCUAUGGAACAAAAAAUAUUAUAUAUUAAUAAAUAAAAUAGAAAAGGGGGAAGGGGUCAAGAAUAUUCGGAUAAAGUACAGUGUAAAAAUAAUUUUUUUAACUAGAGUGUAGUUGUUCAUUUGUAGAGCAUGCAAUACAUGUGACUUUCUUUUUAGGCUACAAUAUACAAGUAUAGGGAAAUAUCCUAUAUGUUCCCUUUAAAAAUGUGCAGAUACUGCAGCUUUAAAGCCACAUUCUCACUUGGCAAGGAUAAGACCAUUUCCAAAAUAGUGAGAGCCCCCCCAUUUACUCUACAGUUCCAGGCAUUGCUUUCAAAUGUAGUUUUUUUUUUAUUUAUUAUUUUAACCCCCAAAAGGGCUGAAAAUCUACCUGGCCUUUUUUUUCUGUCAUUAAAAGAUUUAAAUGGCUACCUUGGUCUAUUGCAGCUCAUUUUCAAAACAGACUCAAAGGCUUCACUGUUAAUGGUACAUAUUAUUAGACCAACAUAUCUAUAUUGCUUCUGAGGUGGGUGCAUAUAGACUUGUCCAUGCAAGGUAUUUACAUAAAGAAGCAAGAGUGUGUUUGUACCAAUUUAAAAAAAAAACCAGGUGCCUUAUAAAAGAAGACAUGCACUUGACAUAUGCCCCUGUUUUUUUUUUUUUUCUUUUUUGUAACAAUUGCUUUGGGGGUUUAUAAGAAAGAUUAUAACACGCCUCGUUCAUUGUGUACACUGAGAGCCAUGAGAGCACAUCAUGAGCAUUCUAUAUAUUAAGUAUAUAUGUGUGAUAUUAUAUAUAUAUAUAUAUAUAUAUAUAUAUAUAUA